GACGCACAGCGGCAGCCACUUUGUUGAAAUCUGAUGAAUCUAAGAGAAGCUUUGCUGCUGCCACAGAGAAGCUUUUGCCAUAGCACGGCCUCAGUUUGUUCUGUUCGGAUCCUCCAUAGCCCAGCUUAGCUUCAGCCACGGCUACUGGGGCUCCAUUCUCUCCGACCUCUAUGCUCGCAAAGCAAACAUAUUGCUGCGUGGUUACUUUGGAUGGAAUUCACGACGUGCUCUAGAGGUGCUUGAUCAAGUUUUUCCCAUGGAAGUGAUGGAGAAGCAUGGAAAUGUACUAAAAAGUCAACCUUAGCACUUUUUCUUGCUCCGGCUAGGAGAAAACGAGCUAGACAAUAAAGGAAGGGCGACAACCUCAUCAAAAGAAAUCCAAAUGAGUUGAAAAUUCCAGAUCCAUUCUAGACAUCCUAAGAAUCAUUUCAUAUGAAGAGUGCAAGAGCUGGUUCGGAGUGGAAGGCCUUCAAAAGAUUAGUCCAAGUUUUUGACUAAAAGACGAAAACGGCAAAACAUAACCUGUACGGAUUCCGACAGCAUUUGCUGCCAAACCACGGUGAACCAAACUCGAAAAUUUUACCACGUUGAUCUACAAUUAUCGAGGAACAUUUGGUAUGAAAAAGUCAAAGGCUAAUUUCGAAGUCUCGGUGGCGAUUCAAUUGAAGGGAACUUCGGACGUAUCUUAGUCAAAACAUGGCAGUUUGGCCUAGAACCUUCUUUGGGCGGAUUUCUUAUGCAUUUUUGAAGGUCUAUAAUGCUGAAAUUAUCAGUAAGUGCCCUAGAAAAAUCCUACAAGAGUAUGACAAGAUUAAUCCAACAUAUUAUCUUUUGGAUAAUAGGCAUCCUUUGCACAUUUUUCUCUCAUGCUUGUCAUCUUGACUUUGGUGACUCAAAACCACUCCAACAUUCUUCCUUUUCAUGUUUCCCAUUAGGCCUCAUAAAAAAGAUCACGAAUCAAGUGGGCCGAUGGAGGCCAGUCGGCCAGUC
rnacentral:lncRNA from 1 species